rnacentral:tRNA from 1 species
GUUCGAUAUGCUCAAGAUCAUGGCAUACCAUUUUACAUUGUAAGUGGAGGGGUCGAUUUUUUUAUUGAGCC